UUAAAUUGAAGAGUUUGAUCAUGGCUCAGAUUGAACGCUGGCGGCAGGCCUAACACAUGCAAGUCGAACGGUAGCACAGAGAGCUUGCUCUCGGGUGACG
rnacentral:rRNA from 4 species